UUCAUUUAAGCUGGUUCAUUGACUAUGGCUUCUAACACAAGUACUGGUGCCUCCCCUUCUCUAGACUCUUCCUGUCCCCUUUUUGUAUAUUCUUCUGAUGUCCCUGGGGUAUCUCUCGUUCCCACUCCCUUCUCGGGUAGUGGUUAUGGGGGCUGGAGACGUAAAAUGAUUGUUGCCUUAUCAGCCAAAAACAAAAUCGGUUUUGCUGAUGGCACAUACUCCUGACCUACCACCAAUGUGGCUCAACAAAGGUUGCGGGAUAGGUGCAACAACAUGGUGAUUUCUUGGUUGACUGCAUCCCUUUCCCCUGCAAUUGCUGAAUCUGUGCAGUAUUCUGACACUGCAUAGAGCAUAUGGUCCCAACUCCAUGCCAGAUAUGGCACUGCAAACAGGACCAAAAUCUUUGAACUGAAAAGAAAGUUGUCUCACACCUCUCAAGGAUCCUUAGAUAUAGCUUCUUAUUUCAACAAGCUAAAAGGUCUGUGGGAUGAACUUGAUUCUAUGUGUGUUAAUCAUGGUCUAACGUGUGUAUGUGCUGCAAAAGAUGGUAUAGUUCAGGAAUGUGAUGAUAAUAAGGUCUUUCAGUUUUUAAUGGGUCUAAAUGAAGCUUAUAUGGGGGUCAAGAGUAAUCUUUUGAUGAUGCAGCCUCCUCCUUCUCUUGACAAUGUUUAUAAUAUGGUCCUCAAUGAUGAGAAGCAAAGACAAGUUCAGUCUUCCUCUCACUUUGAUCCCACCUCUGUCUCUUUCAAUGUACAUACACACAGACAGCCUGUUGUAUUUAACAAGGCCACAGUGUCUGUUCCUCCUCCUCCUUUUAGAUAGAGAGUCAAUUUUGACCAACAGAGAGUCAAUUUUGACAAACCCAGGGGACCUUUAUUUUGUAGAUACUGUAAAAAACCUGGACACUUAAUUGAUAAGUGCUUCAAGAUCCAUGGGUAUCCACAAAGUGCCACCUUUAACAAGGGAAGGAGGCCUGCUGCUGCUCAUCUGAGUACUGCUUCAAGAUCCAUGGGUAUCCACAAAGUGCCACCUUUAACAAGGGAAAGAGGCCUGCUGCUGCUCAUCUGAGUACUGGUCUGGAUUAUUCUAUUUCUGAUGGACUGUUGUCUGUUCCUCAAGGGAAUCCUCCUGCUACCCA
rnacentral:lncRNA from 1 species